rnacentral:tRNA from 1 species
AGGCUUGUAGCUCAGUUGGUUAGAGCACACCCCUGAUAAGGGUGAGGUCGGUGGUUCAAGUCCACUCAGGCCUACCA